UUUGUUUGGAGAGUUUGAUCCUGGCUCAGGACGAACGCUGGCGGCGUGCUUAACACAUGCAAGUCGAACGGAAAGGUCUCUUCGGAGACACUCGAGUGGCGAACGGGUGAGUAACACGUGGGCAAUCUGCCCUGCACACCGGGAUAAGCCUGGGAAACUGGGUCUAAUACCGGAUAGGACCACUUGGCGCAUGCCUUGUGGUGGAAAGCUUUUGCGGUGUGGGAUGGGCCCGCGGCCUAUCAGCUUGUUGGUGGGGUGACGGCCUACCAAGGCGACGACGGGUAGCCGGCCUGAGAGGGUGUCCGGCCACACUGGGACUGAGAUACGGCCCAGACUCCUACGGGAGGCAGCAGUGGGGAAUAUUGCACAAUGGGCGCAAGCCUGAUGCAGCGACGCCGCGUGGGGGAUGACGGCCUUCGGGUUGUAAACCUCUUUCACCAUCGACGAAGGUCCGGGUUCUCUCGGAUUGACGGUAGGUGGAGAAGAAGCACCGGCCAACUACGUGCCAGCAGCCGCGGUAAUACGUAGGGUGCGAGCGUUGUCCGGAAUUACUGGGCGUAAAGAGCUCGUAGGUGGUUUGUCGCGUUGUUCGUGAAAUCUCACGGCUUAACUGUGAGCGUGCGGGCGAUACGGGCAGACUAGAGUACUGCAGGGGAGACUGGAAUUCCUGGUGUAGCGGUGGAAUGCGCAGAUAUCAGGAGGAACACCGGUGGCGAAGGCGGGUCUCUGGGCAGUAACUGACGCUGAGGAGCGAAAGCGUGGGGAGCGAACAGGAUUAGAUACCCUGGUAGUCCACGCCGUAAACGGUGGGUACUAGGUGUGGGUUUCCUUCCUUGGGAUCCGUGCCGUAGCUAACGCAUUAAGUACCCCGCCUGGGGAGUACGGCCGCAAGGCUAAAACUCAAAGGAAUUGACGGGGGCCCGCACAAGCGGCGGAGCAUGUGGAUUAAUUCGAUGCAACGCGAAGAACCUUACCUGGGUUUGACAUGCACAGGACGCGUCUAGAGAUAGGCGUUCCCUUGUGGCCUGUGUGCAGGUGGUGCAUGGCUGUCGUCAGCUCGUGUCGUGAGAUGUUGGGUUAAGUCCCGCAACGAGCGCAACCCUUGUCUCAUGUUGCCAGCGGGUAAUGCCGGGGACUCGUGAGAGACUGCCGGGGUCAACUCGGAGGAAGGUGGGGAUGACGUCAAGUCAUCAUGCCCCUUAUGUCCAGGGCUUCACACAUGCUACAAUGGCCGGUACAAAGGGCUGCGAUGCCGCGAGGUUAAGCGAAUCCUUUUAAAGCCGGUCUCAGUUCGGAUCGGGGUCUGCAACUCGACCCCGUGAAGUCGGAGUCGCUAGUAAUCGCAGAUCAGCAACGCUGCGGUGAAUACGUUCCCGGGCCUUGUACACACCGCCCGUCACGUCAUGAAAGUCGGUAACACCCGAAGCCAGUGGCCUAACCCUCGGGAGGGAGCUGUCGAAGGUGGGAUCGGCGAUUGGGACGAAGUCGUAACAAGGUAGCCGUACCGGAAGGUGCGGCUGGAUCACCUCCUUUCUAA
rnacentral:rRNA from 2 species